rnacentral:rRNA from 1 species
GACAGAGGGUGCAAACGUUGUUCGGAAUUACUGGGCGUAAAGCGCGUGUAGGCUGUCUCGCAAGUCGGGUGUGAAAGCCCUGGGCUCAACCUAGGAAGUGCACUCGAAACUGCGAGACUUGAGUCCUGGAGAGGAAGGCGGAAUUCUCGGUGUAGAGGUGAAAUUCGUAGAUAUCGAGAGGAACACCGGUGGCGAAGGCAGCCUUCUGGACAGUGACUGACGCUGAGACGCGAAAGCGUGGGGAGCAAACAGG